rnacentral:rRNA from 1 species
CUCCUACGGGAGGCAGCAGUGGGGAAUAUUGCACAAUGGGGGAAACCCUGAUGCAGCGACGCCGCGUGCGCGGAAGAAGGUCUUCGGAUUGUAAACUCCUGUUGUUGAGGAAGAUAAUGACGGUACUCAACAAGGAAGUCACGGCUAACUACGUGCCAGCAGCCGCGGUAAAACGUAGGUCACAAGCGUUGUCCGGAAUUACUGGGUGUAAAGGGAGCGCAGGCGGGGAAGACAAGUUGGAAGUGAAAUCCAUGGGCUCAACCCAUGAACUGCUUUCAAAACUGUUUUUCUUGAGUAGUGCAGAGGUAGGCGGAAUUCCCGGUGUAGCGGUGGAAUGCGUAGAUAUCGGGAGGAACACCAGUGGCGAAGGCGGCCUACUGGGCACCAACUGACGCUGAGGCUCGAAAGUGUGGGUAGCAAACAGGAUUAGAUACCCUGGUAGUCCACACUAUAAACGAUGAUUACUAGGUGUUGGAGGAUUGACCCCUUCAGUGCCGCAGUUAACACAAUAAGUAAUCCACCUGGGGAGUACGACCGCAAGGUUGAAACUCAAAGGAAUUGACGGGGGCCCGCACAAGCAGUGGAGUAUGUGGUUUAAUUCGACGCAACGCGAAGAACCUUACCAAGUCUUGACAUCCUGCGACGCACAUAGAAAUAUGUGUUUCCUUCGGGACGCAGAGACAGGUGGUGCAUGGUUGUCGUCAGCUCGUGUCGUGAGAUGUUGGGUUAAGUCCCGCAACGAGCGCAACCCUUAUGGUCAGUUACUACGUUAAGAGGACUCUGGCGAGACUGCCGUUGACAAAACGGAGGAAGGUGGGGAUGACGUCAAAUCAUCAUGCCCUUUAUGACCUGGGCUACACACGUACUACAAUGGCGUUAAACAAAGAGAAGCAAGACCGCGAGGUGGAGCAAAACUGAAAAACAACGUCUCAGUUCAGAUUGCAGGCUGCAACUCGCCUGCAUGAAGUCGGAAUUGCUAGUAAUCGCGGAUCAGCAUGCCGCGGUGAAUACGUUCCCGGGCCUUGUACACACCGC